CUUUCUCCUCCUCUUCUCUCUCCCUCGUCCUCGCGGCGGCGGCAGGAGCAUGCCGGCGGACGGAGCGGCGGAGGGGCGGGCGGAGCGGCGGCAGGCCGCGGGCGGCGGAGGUUGCCGGAGGAGGAAGAGGCAGAGGAGGAGGUCGCUAGCGAGCGCGACAGCUACACUCCGUUGGCCGCUCCGCCCGCGAUGCCCAGUUGAAAGGCGCUGCCCUCCUCGCUCGGUCGCCGCGCGCCGCCUCCCUCCUCGCCUUGCCGCCACACGCCGCCUCCCUCCUCGCCCGACCGCCACCGCCGACAUCCUCGAUGGUCACAUCUGGGUCGGAGCUGCCCCUCCCCUCGCCCGGCCGCCUCAAAAAACCCAAGCUUUUGCCGCCGCCCCGACUGGCUGACCAUCCCAAGAAAGAAGGCACCUCCUCGUCGCCUCUGCUGCCUCCACACUGCCCGCGGCGUGAGGGCCCUAGACCUCCGGGAGGGCUCCGGCGAGGUCCCGGCGGACCGCGAGUUGGAAAUGCAAUUAACAGAUUCAAAUAUUCAAUUCGCUUCUUGAUUGAGCAAGUUAUAGCCGUAGUUGACGAGGAGACGCAGAGCGGCGAGAUGUCCUCGAGGGCAUCACGCUAGGCAACGCCCUGGAGAAGGAGAAGAGCAAGCUACGUGGCGGCGAUGACCCGUCGCGCUGGUCCGACGAGAAGAGCGGCAGCGGCAGGGAGUGAUCAAGCCUGGGAUGGCACGGCGAUCCUCGGCACGAGCAAGCGGUACUGCGCAUAUGCGAGGAAGGCUCGUUUGGCGACGGACGGCCGUGGCAGUCCGAGGGUUGGCGGGGAGAGGAGGGGCGGCAAGCCGGCGGCGGGUUCGGCCUGGUCAACGGCGCUGCCUCCCCAUGCGCUGCCUCUGCUCGUCCUCCGUCUUCAGCACGUCGCGCGGCGGGUUCGGCCUGGUCAACGGCGAAUCGGCGAUGGCGGGGCGGCUGGGUCCAACGAUGAGCUCCGUGAGGGAGGAGGCGAGCUCCUUGUGCUCCGACGGAGGAGGGGCUCCCACUCCGUCCCUUCGUACUCGGGUUCCGGCGACGAGAACGGUGGUGGUGGUGACGAGAACGCCGCGAGCUUCCAUGGCAGGUUCUUGUCGCGUCCGGUGCGGGCGAGGAGGGUGCGGGGGAGGAGGUGGCGUGGCCGCCGUGUUCCGUCUCGCCGCCGGCGCCAUCCAU